rnacentral:rRNA from 1 species
UAGGGAAUCUUCGGCAAUGGACGAAAGUCUGACCGAGCAACGCCGCGUGAGUGAAGAAGGUUUUCGGAUCGUAAAACUCUGUUGUUAGAGAAGAACAAGGACGUUAGUAACUGAACGUCCCCUGACGGUAUCUAACCAGAAAGCCACGGCUAACUACGUGCCAGCAGCCGCGGUAAUACGUAGGUGGCAAGCGUUGUCCGGAUUUAUUGGGCGUAAAGCGAGCGCAGGCGGUUUCUUAAGUCUGAUGUGAAAGCCCCCGGCUCAACCGGGGAGGAUCAUUGGAAACUGGGAGACUUGAGUGCAGAAGAGGAGAGUGGAAUUCCAUGUGUAGCGGUGAAAUGCGUAGAUAUAUGGAGGAACACCAGUGGCGAAGGCGGCUCUCUGGUAUGUAACUGACGAUGAGGCUCGAAAGCGUGGGGAGCGAACAGG